UAAUCCAAUAAGAAAUAAGAAAUAAUCCAAGAGAACUGAAGAGCGAACCAAAUGAUGUUGCUUCAGCGAGUGCUAGGAUCAGAAUGAGGAAGAGUGAGUUUUAAAAAAUAAAGCCCCAAAGAGGCCCGAAAAUAAUGGGAUAUGAAAAAGGAAGGUCACAUGGGGGAAAUGACGACAGGAAGGGGAGGAACCGGGAAGAACCAGAAAUAAUGGGAUUUGGAAUAAACCACGUGAUGACUAAUAAUGAGGGGGAAGGGCCUAAAAAUCAAGCAGCAUGGAAAUAAUGGGAUUUGGACAAAAAUUAUGCAAAUUAAGAGAGGAGGCGCCCAGAGGCGCCUGCAAAUAAAUAAGAUAGCAGUCUAGGCACUUGACUUGCACUUGUUUGUUGGUGUGUAGUUCGAGCAACAGCUAGAGUGCCUUCAAGACCGGUCUGAAGAUUUCUGGAUUCUCAGGAUUUUAGUUGUUACUUUCAUUUUUGGUAUGUCUAUUUCAGAACAUGGAAGAACUGCAUCGGAUUCUUUAUAGAGGGAACUCUCACUUCAUACCUGACCUGAAGACCCACUGGGGGACCUUUUAUGAGAAGGCACAGUUUUAUGUGUUCAAAAAUGUCAUGAAAGCACCACAGCAGGACAAAGUCUGGCUGCACUGGUUUUAAGACAUCUGUGGGUUCUUUGAGAUUUUUGAAGAAUUUCUGGAAGAAAUCUGAGUUCAAUGGAGCGUUGGACACUGCAUGUUUGGAAGAAAGGAAGAAAAUUUGAGGAAUUCAAGGAAAAACACUAGAUAAAAAUCUUGCACCAGGUUGAUUCAGAGUUAUCUAAUGCAACAUGUGUCUGCACAGCAGUACCCUCCAGUCUUUCUGGGUGAUGAUUCAGAUGAGUUUUUCAGGAUUUUCUCCUCCUUCUAAGUACCACUCAACUUUCCAUCCUUUCCCAACUUUCUUGACACGUGUUGCUGCCAUCAAUUUCAAAAUGACUUUUUUUCUAAAAGAUAUUUCCUCAGUUUUAACAUUUUAUGUUUUUUUAUGUUCUAUUGUGAAUAAAAAAUAGAUUCAUGAGAAUUGCACAUCAUUACAUUUUGUUUUUAUUUACAUUUUACACAGUGUCUCAAAGUUUUGGGGUUGCAGUCACUUUCCUUAUUUUUUUUCCCUCUAAUUUCAGAUUCAGAUGUAAAUUCAAUCAAAUUGAUGUUGGCCUUCUUACACUUUUAUCUGCCAAAGGUCCACAUGCUCUUAAUGUAAACUCUUCAAGGGCAAUCAUUCUGGAGGGAUAGAUUGUUGCGGAUGAUGUCCCAAAUUUGUUACAUGCUGUAUUUUUUUUUUAUUUUGUAUCUUUUUGCUUUGAUUUAUGGUCCAAAUGUAGACUACCCUGAGACAAGGAGGAACAUAUUUGAUUUUAUUCAGAGAGAAUUUUUGUCCUUAGGUGGGAAGAACUUUAAACCCAAUCUCCAAACUCUUUUAAAAAAAAAAUCAGCUUUUAAGCUACAUAGAAACAAUCAAAACAGACAAAAAAAGGUCAUCUGCUUUUUUUUUGUUGUUGUUCCAGUCAUUGUUGUUAAGUGAUUGUUCCAAUAUUGCUUUGUAACUGUUCUUUUAUGUUUU